GCCGAGUCGGGAACGCAGGGUGUCUGAGCGGCCCUGGAUCCCCGGGGCCUCGCCCUGCCGCCCGCCCCCCAACAUCCCCAGGCUCUAGAGCGACGUGGCUGCUGAGCAGAGGGAAAGAGGCAAGACCAGUUUCCCCACAAAGCUCUGAGGGCUGGAGACCUCCCUGCAGCCGGUCAGGAAAGUCCGUCUGCGGAUUUUGCACCUGGGGAAACCUCCCGCUCACUCUCAGCAAUUCUUUCCCCCAACGUCAAACUGGCAUCCUCCCUACGUGGUGAUCAAAUUCAAUCCACAGCUCUAAAAAAAAGUUUACAUUCUGCAACCCCGCACCACCACCACAUCCCCAAGCAAAAAGUGAUAUUCACAUGCCCACCUUUGCAGAGAAGUCAGUCAGAACCCUCCUCGUACCCCUACAUUCUCUUAUGGUGACAAUGAAACUUGCUCCUGUGAUCAAUGAAAGGAAAGAGACAUGGCCAUUUCUAGCAGGCUGAAUGACCCAGUGUCAGAUUCACCGUGCCGCCUCCUGCCGCACUGUCUGCUUGCGCCCAGUGAGAACUCUACAUGGUGAUCACUCAGUGGGACCUUGAGUGAGGACAGUGAUUGGAGGUCCUUGCUAACCUGUAUUGGAUUAUAGCAUGAAUUGCAAAUAAAUAUUUGUUUUAAGUCUCUAAAA